rnacentral:lncRNA from 1 species
CUACAUGAAGGCCGAGUUAGAGUCGGCCCGAGCCGAAUUAGAGUCGGCUCAACAAACCAUCAAGUCUCAAGAGUUUCGGAUCAAAAAGAAGAAGUAUGAGGUUAAAUGACUCUGAAAGGAACAUGAUGGCUACACCAAAGAACUAAAAGAAGAACAAAAAAAGCAUCAGGCCAUCGAAGCACAGCUGGCACUAGCCGAUGUAG